rnacentral:sRNA from 1 species
GCUGGGUAUGGUGGCACAUGCCUAUAAUCCCCACUUCCUGGGAGGCUGAGGCAGGAGAAUCAUAAGUUUGAGGCCAGCCUCAGCAACUUAACAAGGUCCGCAGUAAAUUAGUGAGACCCUGUCUCAA